UCAGCAUCAGUCAACAGGACGCCAGCAGUAACUUCCUAUCCCGUGGCGGCUGAUUCUCCAAGUGACAGCUCUGUGCCUCUCCUGCACCUGCUGACAAGCCAACUGAUGUCCUUGGCCCAUAGGUAAUCCACACUCCAGGAGUGAUGCCCCAAAGCGCCCACCUUCCCACUCACCUGGAAGAAAUUCUGAGGCACAACCACCCCUAAUCACAGAAAAGGAGAAAGAACAGAAAGAUACUCCUGAAGCCAAGGUAACCCCCGCCUCCAAGAUUCUGCAAACAGCAGUGGGAAACUCCCAAACUCAUCCAUGACCCAGGAACCCUCCCUGUCUUGGAUGUCUCCUCUACAAACAACAGAACCUCUGCCUUAGAGAAUGAUCUCCUUUUCUUCCUCAAAUACCCUCUCCUCUCUUAUCUGGGUCAGCUUCCCUGGCCUUGCUCUCUAAAAAGCCUAAAAUCCAGGGCGCCUGGGUGGCUCAGUCAGUUAAGCGUCUGACUUCAGCUCAGGUCAUGAUCUAGUGGUUUGUGGAUUCGAGCCCUGCAUGGGGGACUGCACUGACAGCUCAGAGCCUGGAGCCUGCUUCAGAUUCUGGGUCUCCCUCUCUCUUUGCCCCUCCCCCACUCACGCUCUGUGUCUCUCUCUCUCUCAAAAAUAAUUAAAAAAUUAAAAUAAAGAUAAAAAGCCUAAAAUCCUUCCAAAAUGGCUUUAAAAAUCUCUCUCCUUGGUGUGCCUGCGUGGCUCAGUAGGUUAAACAUCUGACUCUUGAUUUCAGCUCAGGUCAUGAUCUCACAGUUUGUGUGUUCAAGCCCCAUGUGGGGCUCUGCGCUGACAGUGCAGGGCCUGCUUGGGAUUCUCUGUCUCCCUCUCUCUCUGCCACUCCUCCCUCCCCUGCUUGCCUGUGUUCUCUCUCUCUCAAAAUAAACAUUUUAAAAAAAUAAAUAAAUAGUGGCUCAGUCAGUUAAGGGUCUGAUUCUUGGUUUUGACUCAGGUCAUGGUCUCAUGGUUCAUGAGUUCCAGCCUCACACUGGGGUGGGUGCUGACAGCUCGGGGCCUGCUUGGGAUUGUCUCUCUGUCUCUCUCUCUCUGCCCCUCCCUCACUCAUGUGAGCACGCUCUCUCUCGCUCUCUCUCUCUCCCCUAAUAAAUAAGCUUAAAAAAAAAAGAAAGAAACCUUUAAAUAAAUAAAUUAAUUAAUUAAAAAAAAAUCUCUCUCCUCAAGUAUAGACCCUAGCCUCUCUCUGUCUUACCCAGCUACUCUCUGCUCCUUUCCUAUCUCCUCCCUUAAGACUAUAAGUAGAGAAGGCCUGACCUUCCUUCCUUCCAUGCCUUCCUCUAGACUCUGUUCCAUCUACAAGAUUAGGCACAGAGACUCUUUAUGGGGGUGGGGUAGCUGGUCAGAAGAUGGCAGGGGACCUCCCAAGCACAUGGGGGCUUUCUGCCUUCCUUGGCCUCUGCCAGAGGUGACCCAAAAUCCCUACCCUUCAUCGAACAGAGGCCUGAAGAAGUAUCUCAGCUCCAAAGCUCCUGCCAAGCCACACCCCUGCCCCAUGAGGACAAGCACAGAUAAAGCUUUCAGCAGGUCCUCAAGUCUCUCCUCCUGAGAAGAGACAAGACCAGCCAGGAUAUUAGAUGUUUCUCUUUAUCAGGUGUCAGGUGUCAGGCAUCAGGACAGAACACCCUCACCAUGAACCUGCCUCAGCAUUCAUAGCAGAAGGACACAAGGACCUUUUUCUGGCCCGCUUAGCAAUGUGUAUUUAUGAGGCAGAAAACUCAACUCUGAGGACAGAUGGAAUAAGAGAAACAGGUCCCUGAGACCAGGGGAGUGAUUCUCCUAAGGCUGGUGGGGUGGAGGGUGGAGAUGUCUCAGAAGACGAUCCUAAUAGAAUUACAUAGUGUUGAAGCUGGAAAGGGCCUUAGGGACUCAAAUAUAUGUCCCUCAUUUUACAGAUGUGCAAGAUCUCAGAUCUCCCAGAAGGCUGUCUGAGGGCAGGGAUAGUGCUUCAUUUUCACUGUUCACUGUUUCAAUGUUCAUUGUUCAUUUCUAGGCCCAAGCAACUUUUAGGUGCUAAAUCGAUGGUGGGAAAAAGAUCCAUCGCAUGUACACACUGUUUUCAACUUCUCAGGAUACUUUUAUACCCUAAUAUUGCCCCAUAAUAUAGUCUAGAAGUUGAAAACCCAUGUCCUGAAGGCUGUGUUUGGUCUGUACAAAGUUUUAAAACAUUUGUAAUUCACUCCCAAUGUGCAUUGGAAGCUUUCAUUCCCUCAAAAAAUAUCUAUUGAGUGUUUAUGGGCUGAGGCCAUAACAGAGAAUAAACCAGACAAAAAUCCUUGCCCUUGUGGAGCUGAGGUUUUGGUAAAUGGGAGGGGUAGGAUGUCACAUAAAAACCCAGGCUCUCCACUCCUCUCAAAGAAAUGAUAAGAUCCGGCCACACUGGACCCACAGUGCUCCACAGCAGGGAUGCUGGAUUUCAGCAGCCACCCUUGUACUUGGCCAUGUGCUCUCCCACUUACUGCAGACUCCCCUGACUCACCUCACUCAUUUAGCUAUUUACCUGGCCCCAGGGGAUACUGGGGUUUGUGGCCCCAGAUACUGAUGUGUGUUCACCCCAAUUAAAUGUGACAAGGCUGAUAGAGAAUAACCACCUGCCUGAAGCCACACCAUGACUGGCAGGGCUGGGUGAGAACCUCAUCUCCUGUCUCUUGGUUCCUUUUCUUGUAAGACCAUGUUCUCAAGCACUCAGCACGGUGCCAGCACAUGGGAACAUUCAAUAAAUAGCAGUUCUCUUCCCUACCAGUCUUUCUUCCAGUAGAAGGAAAUCAGCCUGGACUUUAAGAACUGCCCCUUUAAGGGACUCAGAGGAAAGAAGAAUGGAAAAGAUAUGGC